rnacentral:antisense_RNA from 1 species
UUGGAACAAGCAUUAACAUGAUAAAGCCUGGUACGAACAUUGCUAAUGCCCAUUGAGCCCAGUUCAAAGAUACGCCUGUCAAUUUAGUAAUAAAGUCAAGAGCUAAAUAGUUUGGCGCCAUCGCAGUUGCAAAGAAGAAGGAUGUUACCUUUGUAGCAAAGUAACCAUUCUGCAAGAGGUAAGCGCCUGCUUUUUUUGCAGAUUCGCCAGGAUAAGAACCAACCGCUUCAGCGAUGGACAAGUUA